rnacentral:lncRNA from 1 species
AGCGGUCAGUGGCAUUCCUUCCAGGAGCACCACACUAGUUGGGGCUCCAGGUCUCCCACACUCGGCUCUCGCCCUGCAGAGCGCAGCUCCCCUGGGUGAUUUUCUUGCUGGCUGAGUGGCAGUCAGCACUCUGGGAGGCUGCUGGGUCAGUGUCCUAACUGAGCACUCCAGGAGCAGGGCUAUGCUGCUCCCAGGUCAGCUGCCUGUCCCCAGGAGUUUUGAUGUGUCGUGCUACCUGUGUGGGAAACUGCCUCCUCCUUCGCUGUUCCACUUGUGCCUGACAGCAGUGCAUUUGCAGAAAGGAAAACAGCACUGUCUCCUGAUGCACUCACAGAAGCGUAUCUACUCCCACCCCUGCUGAGGGUCCUCGGGAGUCGAGUCUGGACCGCCGGGGUCAUCUGCCCCAGAGUGAGGAGAACCUGACACCAGUGUCAGGAGGAGGAGGUCAGUGCUCCGGAGGAAAACACAUCUUCAAAGUAUAAGGGGAACAUUGCUGGGGUGCUUAAGUAUCCUCGUGAAUAAAGCGGGUCCCCACCCUCGAGAUUUACAGCCUAGUGGGGAUGGCAGCAUGUAAGGAACACUUGUCCGAGGGGAUGGAUUAGCAAGGGUCUGUGGAGCGGUGGGGGCUGUAGGUAGGAGGCCCAGCCUCCCAGGCAGUGCUGGGGGGAACUGGGAUGGCUGUGAGCCAGUGACACAGAUGCCUUCCCAGCCCGGGGCUCAGCAGAGAAAUCGGCCAGAGGCGAAGUCCUGAGCCUGGUGCGCUGUGUGUGGAACCAGGGCAAGAACAGGAAGGCAGUGUAGAUGUGGCCUGGAAGAUGGGCUGGGUUGUUUCCUCUCUGUGGAAUGAAUGCUCACCCCUAAGGGCACCUAGGUGACCGGCGUAGGUUACAGUCAGGAGGAGAGAACCCUGAGUUUUCCUGAGGGCUCCAACUCUAUGGGCACAGGCACUGGUGAAGAUUUUUCGGAUCCAAGCUGCGCUGAGAAGCUCCCUGGAGUAGCAGUGAAGGAUGUGUGGCAGGGUGACACACACUGUGCUGUCACUGGGACAAAAUGCCUGAGAUAAUCAACUAAGGGAAAGCUGCAACUAAGGCUGCAGCUCACAUUUCCAGAGGUUUCAGUCCUUGGUCCUCGGGACCAGUUGCUAGGGCCGAGGUAAGGUGUUCAUCAUGGCCAGAGCAUAUGGCAGGGGAGGCUGCAAACUUCACAGGGCCCAGGAAGCAGAGAGAGAGAGCCAGGAAGCGGCUGGGGUCCCGGCAUCCUGUCGAGGCCACGCCCCAAUGACCUCACUUCCUCCCACCAGCCCCCACUUCCUAAGGUUCCUGCCACCUCCCAACAGUGCCAUAGGCUGGGGACCAGGCUUUGGGGACACUUGUAAUCCAGACCGUGACAGCAGAGGUCACCUCGGUGGUCCAGGCAGGAGAUGGAAGAGGGAGGGACGUGCACAGGGCACUCAGGACUCUGGCCAGUGUCCUAGUGCUGGUGACACAUGGCAACUGGCCAGAAGGGAGCAAGCAGGAAGACCUAGCUUGAGGAUCAGGGUUCUAACUCACAAGCAAGGCCGCAGGGGACUGAUGCAAAGCAGGGGCUGGGUCUGCAGCUCCGAGGAAAGGUGGGCUGCUCUGCACACCUCCGUGCCCUCCUGGCAGGGCUUCCAGUCUGUGCCCACACUGGAGCUGGCAAGGCCUUGGCGGUCCCUUGUGCUGCCCCCACCCAGGGCCGCAGAGUAAGGGCUGCUCCCUACCUGCGGGCUGCACAUGACCGGUGUGCUCCGCACCAUGGAUCCUGUGCAGGCAGAGAGCACCAGAGUCCACCACUGAGCGCCUGGGACUCCUGUGCUGAGGUUGGAGUGGCACUCAAAGAGUGGAGGUUGGGCGCCCUCCUCCUGCUGCGCCCACCCUAGGUACCCCGGGGGUGCGGUGCUCAUGACCGUGCUGCCUGGGACCCCAGCCCUCCGUGGGCAUCGCCUUCCCAACGUGGGCAGCCCUGGGCCCAAGCUGAGCCAGCCCUCCUGUCAUCCUGAAGCAGGACUGGAGCAGCAGCUGGGGCGCCUGGGCAGUGGGCCCAGGCAGUGAGAGGAGGGGCCCAUAGGAGAGGUGCAGGGCACCCCUGAGUGCAGGCAGCAGACCAGCUGCAGGGUGGGAGGAGCUGAGGCCGAAGGGGCAGGAAGAAGGCUGCAGAGAGGCCCACGGGCUGGGCGGACGUGCUGCACUGGGAGGGCGCGACCAGGGGAGGCUGCACGGCCCACAGAGGCGGGAGAGCUGGCCCUGUGGCUGGGGAGCUCGGCCCUUUCAGAGGAGGAGCUGCCCACGGUGCACACCACCCAAGCAUGGGGGCAGGGGGACACUGCCGGAACCAGGGACCGGGCCUGGCCUUCCCCGGGAUCGUGAGUCAAGGACAGUGACCUACGUCAGCAGAGGAGGACCACGAGGCUGGCUGGGGCUACCAGUGCCGCCACACCAAGGUGCAGCAAAGGGCGGCACUUGGGGACAGAGCCAGGAAGUUCCUCAGCUCUCAGGCCUCCGUCCCUUGCCUGUGACAGGGCCCACAGAGGACCUGCAGAGGACAGAUGGCGGUGGGGAGCUGCAAGCUUGGCUGGUGCUCCGAGAGGAGUGAGGGCAGCCUGUGGAGUCGUGCUCAGCGUGCAGCCACGCGCCUCCUGUGCCCAGGGCCGGCCCAGGUCCCCGCUGUCAGGCGCAAGUCCUCCGUGCAGUGCCGUGAUGUCUGUGUGUCCCGACGUGGCCUCCCACACAGUUCACACCAUCUCAGCUUGCUCACGGCGUCCAGCGCAAAGAGAAGGCCGUGCGAGCGUCGCAGCACUUGCUCACAGGGACAGUGACGAGGAGGAAGCCUGCUGGCGCAGCACAGAAGCACUUUAUCCCAGUGUUUUCCAGCUGAAGCUGGCUGAGCCUGAGCGUGCACGGGCCGACUGCACCCUGGCUCCCGGCCCUAGCCCAGCACCUCUCGUUCUUCAGCUGCUGAUGGGGGCUGGGGACCCAGGGCUGCGGGGUCCACCUGGGAGCCCGGGACCAGGCAUCAUGUGAGCACAGGGACCCUGGCCUGGCUGAGGGAAGUGUCAAGGGCAGAGGCCCAGUGUGCAGGCUGCUUCCUGAAGCUCUGCUGUCCCCGUCAGGACUGGAACCUGCUCUGAAAUGGCUGGGAGUGGCAGGAUGGACCCCACUCAGACGGAAGGGACCGACCUUCAUAAUCAAUGCCUUGACAACCAAAGCCCGGUACUCGGUACUCAGAGGCCCCAUCUCUCCUGCCCCCAGGCCUUCCUCCUCCUCCCUCCCCGUGAGAGUCUUGGUUUCAGAGUUGGUGGGGAUCCUGGGUUCCCCAUUCCCCUCCUCUGGCCCCUGGGAGUUCUCCUUCCUGAGUCUUUCUAUUCCAGGAAACUCACACAGGGCGGGUGUGAGGCUCAGCCGGAGAGUGUGUGCUUGGCAUGCAUGAGUUCAAGCCCCAGCUGCAAACAGAAGGAAAAGAAAAUACCCAGAAACUUCAUGUAAGGGGAAUCCACCCUGUUUGUUCUGUGUUUGUGGUUGAUUAUGCUUAAUAGAGUGUCUCCAGCAUUCAUCCUUAUAGUAGCACGGCACAAUUCUAUCCGGUACAAUUCUAUCCUCCAGGGCUGUCGUGAUCCCUUAUGCGUACACGAUUUUGCGAGUUUACUCAUCCUGGGUUGGUCCCACCUUUACCACUGUGAACAUAGUGGUGCUUAUCUGUUCGGUUUCUGCUUUCACUUCUUUGGGGUGUGCCAGAGGCGAAAGUGCUGUCCUGGGACUUCACGCUUCAGUCUGGAGCCAGGAGGGUUGUGAGCGCUCCUGGUUCUAAGGCGCAGCCAGAGCCAGGAGCCUGGAGGUCAGGCUGCAGCUGAACUUCCUGCCGUGACUUAGCCCUCUGGGAAGAAGCCACAGCCCAGGUCAGCUAAAGCAGCCUCCCAGAGGGGACCCCACACUGCGUUCCCACUGCCCCGUGAGUCCCAGCAGCGGCAGGUUGGGGGGACCCCUGUGUGCACUGGCACCUCUCAGGUCCCAGCCACGCCCUGCUGGGAAUGCAGACUCUGAGGGCCCAGAGCGGCUUCCUCCCCGCAGCCCUGGUUACUCUAGUAUGCAGCCCGCUCAGACCUGCUGACCCUGUUCAGUCCUGGCAAAAGCGAGAACCCGGCCGAGGUGCAGCUCUGGGGCUCGGGUUGGAUUGCUAAGGGACAUGGUGGUAUUGAGCACAGUGAGGCCACAUUGGUCCUGAGGUGGGAGGAAAAAAUACAGGUAGAAAGGGCGAGGAAAUAAUUGUAAUGUUUGAGAAAACUGCAGCUUCCAGACAAGGUCAAAGUUAUCCAAGGUUCCAGUCCUCUCACCGAGUCCUGUUUCUUUCUUCCAGCUCCGCCCUCCUAAGUUCCUAAGAGUCUUAAGAUCAUGUUAUCCGUAAACCGGAUCUGUGUUUUUCUUCCAGUCCUAUAAAUUCACAAUUCCACGGGCUGCCACCCUUGGGGAAACAGCACCAUUUAUGGGGCACGUUGCCUCUGAACUUCACGUACAUGCUUCUAACAUGCACUCAGUACAUUGAUCUUAACUGAGGUCAUGGGGUCUGGUUUUUCUUUAGCCCACUAAUGGGUAACCUGACAGACUCAGGUAACUUAAGCAUAACUCAAAGGGUAAACAUCCCAGUCACCCAUCUCGAGGACACCCCUAGACCACACAGAUCUCCCCUGGAUCCUAAUCCUGCCAUAAUAUUUGUUUUGAAAUUUGAAUUUGUUUCCAAUACCAGUGAUAUUAGGGAACAUUGACAUAUUAGGGAGGAUUAUUAUUAAUUUUUUUGGUACCGGGGAUCAAACUCGGGUCCCUUGUGCUUGCGCAGCAGGCGGCGAAACCACUGAGCUAAAUCCCCAGCCCUAGGGAGGAUUACUGAUACAUCACACUCCGGGAUCCAUGUAUCACCCUGUCUAGAGUGCUCUCGGGGCUCCCACCCCAAGACACAGGCUUUCUUUGGAUCUUGGGAGAAGCCCCCAGAGCCCAUAACCUGCUCGCAUACCCAGCACACCAGGAAGGCGUGCUGCAGCAGCCUGCGAACCAGGGCCCAGGAAGGCUGAGGUGCUCUGGGCAAGCAAGGCACCCAGGGGUCUGUCUCAAAAGACUCUUGGAACAGACUUUCAGGGGCUCAGAGCGGUGGGCGUGGCCCUGUCCCUUCCUGAGGUGCCCAUGGGGCAUCUUUCCUGUCUGUCAUUCCCCUGCCAAGCAUUUCAUUUACUAACCACAUCCUCCUUGGCCCAAGCCCUGCACCCACCUCCACUUGCAAUCGGACUUCCAUCUUCACAAGCCAGGAGCCACAUCUACUACAGUAUUUAUUUCUUUUCUUUUAUUUUUUUGGUACCAGGGAUCGAACUCGGACCUUGAGCUUGCGAGGAAUGUGGUGGAACCACUGAGCUAAAUCCCUGGCAGUGUUUGUGUAUUUCUUAAUCAUUGAACAUGGCUGACACUCUGCUAUUAUUCUCAUUCGGUUCCGCCUUUUCCUGUGCUGCUGAUGUUGGGAUUUUGCUGUUUUUUGUUUUUGUUUGGUGGCUAGGAUGGGACCCUGGGCCCCUCCCAUGCUAAGCACGUGCUGUCACUGAGUGUGGCCCCUGGCCCCACUGGCCAAGGGCUUUGUGUGGUUUUCUGUUUUGUUUUGUGGGGCCAGGGAUCUAUCAGUGGUGGGUUUUGAAUGUUUUACUCAUUUUCACCAAAACCCUGUGGUUUUUAGCAUGUGGUUAUAUAGUGCCGUGGUUUUCAAGCAGGAGCGCGUAUCUCCUGGUGGAACCAGCCACAGAAGCCAUCCUGCUUUGUAUCAGCCUUGUAAGGAUGCUGAGGAGAUGCUGCCCAUGGAGGAUUUAGAUCUUGUCCCCUUCUGUCCUCUCCUGGCAGCCACCGGACAUAGAGCUCUCUGAUGGGGUGGUGCCUGCCACAGUGGCCAGGGGGAGGAGCAGGUGGCCACAGCACGACCCACUCCCUGCACGUGUGUGCAGUGGCCUCGGGCCACUCCGUCUGCUCUGCUGGGUCCCUGUGUCCAUGUCGCCCAGGCCCUUGCCUGCUGCCCCGUGCCAUGUGGACUCGGGUCUCGAGCUCUGUCUUCCUGAGGCUGGGCUCGGUGUGCAGCAGCCCACCUGGCUCGUGUCCUCUUCAGACAGGAAGAGUCCCUGGGUCACAAAGCACUUACCUCAGUGCAGGGGGCACCGGGCGCACCUCCCUACACCUCUGACCGCAGCGCUGCCUCUCCCGAGACCCCCACGCACAGCUGGCCUGGCCCCUGCCCUCCACCCUGAAAUCCGCUUCCGAGGUAAAAAUGACUCACUUCAAGCCCUUCGGUACUUCACGAGCACACAGGUCUGCGUGGUGUCCAUGAUACAACACAAGCCCGAACAGUUUUCUUUAUGUCUCGUCUGCGUAUUCCGCUGGCUUCAUCCACCGUACUUCACCUUUGGCUUCCCUAUUAGGAACUUGAAUUUCUGCUGUCCUGCUUAUGUGUUGUUAGGGGCUGUCUUUCACUCAUCAUCACCCCAAAGUCAGGGUCAGGCUGCCUGGUUCUAUGGGCACACUUAGAAGCCAGUGCUGAGUCAUCCAAAGACAGAACUGAAACUGAAAACGCUAACUCUGCUCUGAGCUGGCAUUCUCACAGCGGUCUGUUGGCUUUCGCUGUGUGGUUGCCUAAGAUGAGGACUCGUCCUGAGGUUUGGAUAAAACAGGGGCUGCAAAACUGUCAGCAACUUGGGGAGUUAGUGCUUUCCUGCAGAUAGUGGUUCAGCAUCAGAACAUGUUCACCUUUCGGCCGCUGAAAAUCCUCAUUUGUGAAGUCCAAGUUUCUGUUCUCUUUUCCUCUAGAACAGCAGUCAGCAAACUGCAGCCUGUGUUUAGACUGAAAAGCCUAAAAUAUUUACCAUGCUCCUCACAGUGGAGUUUGCCAGCCCCUGCUCUGGAACUCAAAGUGCCGGGUCAUUCUGUAUAAGUUAAAGAUUCUCACCGUGAUGCUGAAACGGGGCCUCAGCAGGUCGGAGCCUCCAACCCCAGGUGCAGCAUUUGGUUUGGGAUGCGAAUGUGCAGCUUUGGAAGACAACCCCACGCCCUCCAAGGGGGUCUGUGACUUCAAAACCCGAGAGUCCCUUCCCGCCGUGUUUCCCAUGCGGGCUGAGUGCAUAACUCACAGCAGCACCCUCAGCCGUGGGAGGCUGAUCUUGUCCGGCCUUGAAGGUCGUGCUGGAAUGCACUUCACCCUGCAGGGUGGGAGCGCUACACAAAGCACGAGGACUGUGGUCCUUCCCUGGGCAUCGCUCUCCUCCUUGGCUCUCAGGCCUGACUCCCCUGACCUGGUUUCCUCUGCCGCACAACCUCGCCUGGGUGCACUGAAUAGGGACCCUGCUUCAUGCCUCGAGCCUGCAUCCACAGCUUCCGGGAUCGCAGCCGGGGACCCCCACACACCUUGGCUUGACCUGAGGGGCUACUGCAGCCGGGGCCUCGGAUCCCUCCCUCCAAGCAUCUGUCUCUCUCCGCCCACUCGAGUCCCUUUUUAGCCCUGCUUUGUCAAUCAUGAUUUAUAUUUGAUCUUAUCAUCGAUGCAAUGUGGUCACCACAAAUGAGACAGUCACAGGCUGCGCAUGUGGAGAGAGUAAACAGCACCCAGAGAGAUCCUGGCUUUCAUCUCAGGGGGCCUGUGAGAACCCAGCAGAAAGAACCGGACAUCUGAACCCUGGACCACAGGUGUCAGGUGCAGCCCCUCCCCGCACUGCUGUGAAACCCAUAAGCAGAGCAUCAUCUGCCUUCCAUACAAUCUUGAAUCAAUAUAAUGCCCCAACUGGGACAUAAAAGGGAAGAAUUUAUGGUGAGUUGAUGUGCACUUCCUUGUGAAUGCCUGGUACAGCGACAGUAGAAGACAAAAUGAGGCAGGUGGACAUUCACGCCGACUUGUUCGAAAAAAAGUUUAGAUUUAAGUGAAAUAAGAUAAUAUUCAACUGACGCUUUUUAAAUUACACUUGACAUUCUGAAAGGAAGACCGCAUGAAUUUGCUUAUAUGUAAGCAGUCGCCGGUAGGGCAGCAUAGAAACAGUCAUCCUCCUGUUCCUGGUUCCCAGCGGGCCUGGCGUGGAGAAGAGAUCUUCUGACACGCACAGUCAUACUGUGUAGAGUUCCAAGGUUCAGCCUUCCCCAGAGUAACAGGCAGCUGCAUUCCUGGAAACGCAGUGACGAUCGGAGCAUGUGGCGCUUUGGACUAGGUGUUCAGCCUUCGGGGUGCUGGCAGACGUCCUACCACCCUGCGGCGCUGCCUGGUCCUGGGAGGCACAAGGCUGCUGUGCUUCCAGGCCUGGCCCCUGGGGGUACUCCCGCCCCUCCCUGUGAGGACCGAAAGGGCCUGGACGGCUGCUGCAGAUCCACAGAGAGCUCCCCAGGCCGCUGCCCCCGCCACGAGCCCCCGCACUAGCGUCCGUUAAAACGCUGGCUAUACCUGUGUCUAAUGGGAGCAGACAGUGAGUACAUACGCAGAUGGGCAAGAAUACCAAGGGGGUUUGGGCAGAAGGUGGUAAAUUGAUGGGACCCGGCUCUCUCCUGCUCCUCAGUGGGGACAGGAUGUGGGUGACAGACGCGAGGGUGAGGUCCCUGCGACCUCCCCUCUGUUCUCCUCACAGGACCCAGCACAGUCCUUAGGACACCUGUGCUAAACUUAGCACCUCGCUCUGCUGCUGCUCACGCUAGCCAACCACUCACCCCAGACAGAGGGCAACCUCCGCCGCGGGACUCCGGGCGUGCCCUGGGCUGUGGUCGCAACGAGCACACCACACAGAUGUCAGCAUGUGCGCGGUGCCUGGUACAGCCCACGACGCUGUGGACACAACACAGCAGCGUGGUCUGGGUGGCGAGGGGUCAGCGUGCCCGGACCAGCCGGGAUCCCAGAGAUGAGCUGGAGGCUGGGCACGGGAGGGGAAGCAGUGGAGCAUUUCCCACCCCUCGGGGGACCUUGGGGCUGGAAGGGGCCCAGUCCCCUCCUGCAGCAUUGUGCAUUUCCCUCGGCAAAUCUUGAAGGAAUGAACAAGCAUAGUUACUGCAACUGAACAGGCAAGUUUUAGGGCUGGGGACUUAGCUCAGUGGUUCUGCUGCCUGCCUUGCAAGUGCAAGGUCCCGAGUUUAAUCCCGGUACCAAAACAAGAAGAAAGAAUAGAUAAGUUUUGCUGGUUUUGUUUUUUGUUUUGUGGUGCUGGGGAUAUCGGAACACAGGACCUGUGCCUGCUAGGCAGACGCUCUCCCUGCUGAACUGCGCCCAGCCCCAGCCCCAGCCCGGGCCACGCUUCGUAGAUCCCUGGCGUGGUGGCCAGCAUGUGGAAAAUGCAGCAUGAAGAGCGUGACAGAAAUGUGUGAUGAGCAGCCUGGUCUACACCAGCAACGUCUGCCAACGGCCCUCUCCUGGGACAGAGGAGCAAGGGCCCAGGGAGCAGCACACCAUAGGGUCCCCAGGUCCUGGCCCCGUGCAGUGCCUCGGGCUGAGCCGCUGUUUCUCCACUCCUUCCUCCGUAGGACCAUGGCAGGUCCCCUUGACCUCCUCGUGGGCAUGGUGCUCCUGGCCAGCCCUGCGCUCGGGAUCCCGGCCUGCUCCUCCGAUGGCCAGGUGGCUCUAUUUCGUUUCCUGCAACCUCACCCAGGUCCCCCCAGGUCCUCAACACCACCAAGAGGCUCCUGCUGAGCUCCAACUACAUCGGGACGGUCACAAGCACGUCCUUCCCUUUCCUGGAGCAGCUCCAGCUGCUGGAGCUCGGGGGCCAGCUGACACCCCUGACCAUCGGGCCAGAGGCCUUCCGGAACCUGCCCACCCUCAGGAUCUUGGACCUGGGUGACAGCAAGAUGCAUGCCCUGCAUCUGGAUGCUUUCCAGGGUCUGCCCCAGCUGCUUGAACUUAGACUGUUUUCCUGUGGUCUCUCGGAUGCUGUGUUGAGAGAUGGUUAUUUCAGAAAUUUAAAUUCCUUAACCCACUUGGACCUGUCUGUAAACACGAUUAGCAGCCUUUACCUUCAUCCUUCAUUUCAAGGACUAAAUUCCUUAAAGUCUGUGGAUUUUCUUUCAACCAAAUCCCCACUCAUAUGUGAGGGUGAGCUCAGCCCACUCCAAGGGAAGACGCUGUCUCUUCUCCGCCUCAGAAUGACGAAGGUGUACAUGAGGGGCGUGGACUGGGGGAAGUGUGGGAACCCCUCCGAAGCCUGCAGCUGGAGACCCUCGACGCUUCUGAGAACGGCUGGACCGUGCCCAUCAUGGGAAACUUCAGCAACGCCAUUGAGGGGAGCAAGGUUUCCUCUUUGAUCCUUCAGUACCACAUCAUGGGGGCUGGGUUUGGCUUCCGUAACAUCAAGGAUCCCGACCGGAGCACGCUUGCAGGCCUGGCCAGAAGCUCGGUGAGGAGCCUGGAUCUCUCGAAGGGGUUCAUCUUCUCCCUGAACCCCCGGCUCUUUGAGACGCUCAAGGACUUGAAGGUCCUGAACCUUGCCCACAACAAGAUAAACAGGAUCUUAAAUGGGGCCUUUGAAGGGCUCGAUGGCCUCCAGGUCCUCAAUCUGUCAUUUAACCUCCUGGGGGAGCUGUAUAAUUCCGACUUCCGGGGGCUGCCCAGUGUAGCAUACAUUGACCUUCAGAGGAAUCACAUUGGGAUCGUUCAGGCCCAAACCUUCAGAUUCCUGGGGAACCUAGAGACCUUGGAUCUCUCGGGACAAUGCUCUUAAGACCAUGUCUUUUAUUCCGAGCAUACUUACUGUCUUUCUAGGUGGCAACAAACUGGGGACUUUGCCACAUCAAUCUCAGCGUUGACUUCAUGCAGUUAUCAGCAAACAGGCUAGAAAAUCUGGCCGAUCUCUACUUCCUCCUCCAGGUGCCUCAUCUCCACACGCUCAUCUUAAAUCAAAAUCGCCUUUCCUCCUGUCCACCAGGCCUUAGCCCUGCAGCGAGCCACAGCUUAGAAAAACUUCUCCUUGGAGAAAAUAUGCUGCAACUGGCCUGGGAAACUGGGCUCUGCUGGGAUGUUUUUAAGGGACUUUCCCGUCUCCAGGUUCUGUUUCUGAAUGAUAACUACCUUAAUUUUCUCCCACCUGGGGUAUUUAGUGAGCUGACUUCACUAAGAGGACUCAGCCUCAGCUCCAACAGGCUGACAUCUCUCCCUGCCGGCAGUUUUCAGCCAACUUGGAGUCCUUGGAUCUCUCUCUCUGAAACCAGCUCCUCUCUCCAGAUCCCAGCUUGUUUGCAUCACUGCAUUUCCUGGACAUAACCCAUAACAAGUUCAUCUGUGAGUGCGAGCUGACCACAUUUAUCAGAUGGCUCAACCAUACCAGUGUCACUCUUGAGGGGUCUCCUGAGGAUGUGUCCUGUGCAUACCCCGCCUGGCUCUCAGAUGUGCCCCUCUAUUCUCUCUCCACGGAGGGCUGUGAUGAAGAGGAAGCCUUGAAGUCUGUGCAGCUUUCUCUCUUCAUCACGUCUGCUGUCACCGUGACUCUGUUCCUCACAACUAUCCUCGUGGUCACAAAGCUCCGGGGUUUUGUUUCCUGUGCUACAAGACAGUGCAGAGCCUGGUGUUGGGCGACCGACCCCUGAGAAGAGACCCCAACACGUUCAAAUACGAUGCCUAUUUCUGCUUCAGUAGCAAAGACUUCCUCGAAUGGGUUCAGAACGCUUUGCUUAAACAGCUGGAUGCUCAGUACAGCCACCAAAACAGACUUAACCUGUGCUUCGAAGAGCGAGACUUCAUCCCCGGGAGGACCACGCCGCCAACCUCCAGGCUGCCAUCUGGAGCAGCAGGAAGGUCGUCUGCCUGGUGAGCAGGCACUUCCUCCUUGACGGCUUGGUGCCUGGAAGCCUUAGCCUACACUCAGGGCAGGUGCUGUGUCUGACCUCCAGAGCGUGCUCGUGGUGGUAGUGGUGGGGUCGCUGUCCCAGUACGAGCUGAUGAGACAUCAGGCCAUCCGAGGAUUUGUGCAGAAGCAGCAGUACUUGAGGUGGCCUCAGGAUCUCCAGGAUGUGGGCUGGUUUCUCAGUAAAACUCACUCAGCACAUACUAAAGAAAGAGAAGGGAAGGAAGGGGAGACAGCGCCAUGCAGCUGCAGAUGGUAGCCUCCACCUCCUAGCAAAAACAGCAGCGUGCGGCAUGUCCCAAGCCACAAAAGCUCUGCUCUGUAUUUGUGCCAGCUUGUCAUCUGGGGUCCUUCCGGGGGUCUCUUCCUGCUAUGAAGACAGUGACUGUGUCUUGGUUUUUCUGUCGAUACCGUGUUUUGUCUCACUGCCCUCCAAAUGGAAAAGAACAGAUCUGGAAAACUGUAGCUGCGCCUGGCAGCUCCCGCUCACUGCUGAUUUCCUCUGACCCAGCGACGCCACUGUGUCCUGCUGUAUGAUGCGCAGUGUCCCCUGCGUGGCAGGGGCACCUCGGGAAAAGUUACAGAUGGCUCCAUGCUCUCGCUGGGCUCUGUUCAGGAACUGGCUGGGCAGAGACUCCGAGUGCUCAGUGCCCCACAAACCAACAUUGAACAGUAAACCAAGGGAAGAAGGGACGUGUGUAGGAAGACGCCCUGUGACACCAGGUACACUCGGUCUCGGGGAGGAGGUGGCCCUGGAGACGCUGGGGUGGGAAGAACCCAUUCUCCGGCCACACCACACUUCCUUGUCAGUGGGAUCUUUCAGCUGGGACUUGGGGCCUUCCCGGACCCAGCACCAACCCACCUUCUCUCUUUCCCGCCUACCACGCCUCAUUUAUCAACUAUGAGCACUGCUGUGAAAAGAAAACGGGCUCUUCUCGGGGUUCAGCUCGGCCCAGCGUGUCAGGGCAGCCGGAGCUCUCCCCACGUCACCCUCUAGCUGCAAGACCCGCACACCCCGAGGGCCCCUCUGCACCCAGUCGCCAGGCUCCGGUCUGGAUUUUUUAAUCCUAAAAGGAGCCUAUGUGCAUUUUGCAUUGUAAUCCUUUUUAUGUUUAUUACCGCAGACCUUUUUUGCAAAUACAUUAAGAAAAUUUAAACCAAAGGUGUGUCAUGAUUGCCCCUCGCUCACAUCCAGGAUGCCUCUACUGUCCCUCACCGUGACACACUCUCGUGCACACACAGACACACACAGGCCUGGCUCUCGGGACACUUCCCACCCAUGACACAGCUUGCCCCACACCUAGGGAUGGAACGGCUCCUUUGCAAACCCUCUUUCUGGAAUGUUCUCUCAUACCUUCCCGUGUUCUAUGUGUUCUUCAAGAUCCAGCCCCUACAGCCGAAGGGUCCCACUCAAAGUCCUCUCGAAUUUUUUGUGAGGACUCUGGACGCUUUAUCUGUUCUCUUCACAGUGGCAUCUGCUGCUGCUACCUCCUCUGUGAGCUGGGAGCCCUCUGGCCUGUCAGGUCCACAAGGGAAAGACACGUUCUCUGAGCCCCACCCCACACACCGUGACAGAUCACGCUCCACCUUCAGGCUGUCUAGAGCUUCCCGGCUGCACAGGUGUCUAUGGCUUCUUCCCGCCCUCCCAUCUGGCCUUCUGGCAGCUUCCUCCCAUUCCCAGUGGCCCUGAGACAUCUGUCACUGAGCUGUGACAUAGGGUUUGCCCAUGUGUUGGGUAUGAUGAGACCCCCAUGGCAGUCCCUGUCUUGCUUGUUUGUACUCCAUGCUGGAUGGUCCCCAGCCCAGCGCAUGCUCAGUAAGCACUCAGGGUGCACCGAUGCCCACCUCACUGUGUCCCUGCCGAUGCUGCUGGGCUCUCCAGGGAAGGGCAGGCCAGGCAGUCACAGGGACGGUCAUAGAGUCUGGCUGAAGGAGAAGAUCCGGGGGUAAGAGUCUCGCAGGCACAUUUCAUGCUGUGGAGCCCUGCCCAGCUGGUGGGACAGUCGCAGCCCAGACCAGCACCCCAGAGAUGGGCAGAGGGUGUGGAAGAACUGUCCCGUGAGCCUGUGAAAAUGGGGUCUUCCCAAACUGUGUACUAAGGAACACUGUCAACAAAGCAAAGCCAGGGACAGUCAGGCCACCGCUCGGAGGCACAGGAAGUCUGUGGUGCUGGAUCAGUUUCACUUAGGACACCUCUCCCAGCCACCACCCCCUGGCUGCAGAGAUGAGGACCCUCAGAACCUCCUGCAGGACUAGGACUCUGGAGGAGAGGGCAAGGCAGUGGGGCUGGGCUAACACCAGGGACCCUGCACUGGGGACCAUCACUGCGGCCCUGUUUUCCAGCCAGCCCUGCGACUGAUGCAGACACAUGUAUCCAUAGGAAUGACGGCCAGCAACAUCGAUGGCUCUUCAUGUCUGAAGAGGUCUAUGUCACAGCCUCUCCUGGCAUGUGUUGAAAGCACACACAGCGGGUGGCUCGCCUGGUGCGACACACUAAGGAAGCGCCUGCCCUCAUCUCCAGCUGGAGUGGAGGGGAGACCCGUUCCCAUCACGCACCCCAGGCACUCGGUAUCACCCGUGUCUCCAGUUCACCCAGAAACCUCUUCCGGCAAAGACCUGAAGUUUUCUUAAAAUCUCGUCAUUUGUCUUUUCUCCUGUCACUAGGAUCAGCAGCUGGAAUUCGUUUUGAAGCCAUUUCCCAAGUGUUUUCCACUUUGUUGCUACCUGGACACCCAAGGGACAGGCUGGUGGCGCCUCGUGGGAAGAGGGUCUGGCACGUGGUAGCUGGAGGUGAGGCUCCGGGAUGCCAACAAACUUGCCGGACGAGCACCGAGGUGCCAGCGGGGAGGGAGGGAAGGGCCGCGCUGCUCACUGUUCUGCAGGGUCCCUUCCCUGACCUGUAGUCCCCUGCUUUUGGGUCUGCGACAGGUAGCACACCAUGGCAGGCAGGUGUGCUGGAGCGAGAUGCCCACUGCAAGGCCGGAAAGCGGAGAAAAGACCGGAAAAGGAAGGGGCUUGGGUCUCGUGGAGCCCUCCGAGAGCACAGGCCAGGCCGGGCAGCACCCACGAGGUCCCGCCUCCCUGUGGCGCCACGGCGGGGACAACCCUUUUAACCCGGGCCUUGGGAGACAUCCCAGGGCCGAAGCUGACCAUCCGCAAGGCCAUCUCUUUGGGGUCAUGCUAAAACAGUGGGAGCUAAUCUAAGACGGCCUCCAGCUUACUGUAUUUGAAACAGAGACUAUUUAGAAACUUUAGAAUGCGUUAGGGCUGCUGAAAGCUUCAAAGGGAAUCUCACUCAUCACCCCAAAUACAGCCGACUUUGAAAAUUCCUUCUCAACCUCCUGCACCUACAGUGAAUAAUCUUUGAUAUAAUGUAAAAUGCAAGUGACUUAAGCUUGAAACGAUGGAAUAACACUGUUGGGAACACAGGUGAAAGCUAGAUGUCCAUCUACCACUAUAAAAAUUAUUAUAAAACGCUUAUAACAUGAAGUCCAGAAAUAACAUUCAAGUACAUACUUAGAAGACUGGAAAAGCCAGAAGAAAGAACUUCAGGAAUUGAUGGCGAUGGCCUGAAGGAGCUCUGCCCAGCUCUUCCACCGGAACGUCCAGAAAAGCUGGAGAAAUUAUUUUCGGAAUCUGUUUAAAGGCACUGGAGAGCUGCAAGGCCGUCAGCAGGGCCAAGGGCCAAGGGCAGAAGCGAGAGAGAGGAGCACAGUGCAAGUACGGCCUUCCGCCCGCAGAGGAGGAGCGUCACCGAGAGAGCGGGGGACGUUCUCUCUACACGCACUGAAAAGGAUUCCUAGCCGAUUAGGGACACAUGUCUACAAACCAAGAAGGAAAGGCAACGGAAAAGAAAAGUGGGCAAGAGGACUCAGAAUUUCACAAACGGAUAUCUAGUGUCCAGCAAGCAAAUGAAAAGGACUUUGACCAGUUUAGUCGUCAGAAAAAUGCAAAUUAAACCCCGUGUGCUGCCCCUACACACUGGUGAGCGGUUAAACAAGGGGGGCCAGCAGCAAAGAUGCAGAACAGCGCACCCUGCUGGCUAGUGGGGAGUGCGCAAUGGCGCCACCCGCCAAGGCUGACCUUGUGAUGGGGCGGUGUGUGCGCACAGGUGUAUGCUCCACAGAACCCAGCAUACCCCCAGAGGCCACAGCAAAAUGUUUGAGCAGCGUUACUGUGGUGGCCGACACUGGAAAUGCCCGCGUGUCUGUUAGCCGUAGAGUGGAUGGACGGGGUAGUUGGAAACUAUCAGAGAUGACAACCAGCUCCAGCUACGUGCAGCAGCACGAGUGACUGCACAAAAUGUUAGGCCACAGAGAUAAAGCAUCAUGAUCAUAUAUGGAGUGGCUCUGUCUUUCCAUGUUUCAGAAAGACAUAACUCACCUGUGGUGACCAUGGCGACGACGGUGGCCGUGGACAAGGAGGGCAGGGGGCUGAGGGGCUUCCGAGGGGCAGUUCUGCCCCAUUCUCCUUCCUGACUGGACGGUUGGUGACAGGUGAGCUCACUUGGUGAUGGUACAGGGUCAUCAAAAUAUACAGCGAACAUUUAGCUUAAAAAUGGGUUACAACAAAACACACACUGCCAUGGAUUCCCCUCACUUCCAACACGCUUAAUCCCAUUGUUCCCGCCACUUUCUGAAGCAGUUCUGCAAGUCCUCUGUUGCAAGUGUCUCUUCAUAGCUGCCCCAAUGUCCUGAUUUGGGUCAAAAUGUUUAUAGCAAUUUCUGUCCAAUAAAAAUAUGACACUGUGUCUUCAUCCACCUUAUCCACUGGCUCUGGCAUCGUGACUUCUGGCUCUUCCCCAAAGCCCAAAGUAAAAAUAACCCUAAAAGGGAAAAUGGAGGCAGCCAGGACAGCACAACUCAAGUCACUCAGGAAAGAGGACUCCAGAGCUGCUGCAGAAAGUGGCAGGAACAAUGGGCUAAGUGUAUCUGUAACGAGGGGAUGGAUUUUGAGGGGGGAUUUGUGGUAAAGUGUCUUUUACUGUAACACUUUUUUCCUAAUUUAAAUAUGAACUGUAAUUUUCAAUAAUAUAUCAUAUAUUUUAUCUGUAUCAAUUAAUUCAUUAACUUUUCUGUAGGGAUUUUUCUUCAAUUUAAAAAUAAAAAAUUUAAGGGCCGGGGAUUUAGCUCAGUGGUUUUGCCGCCUGUCCUGCAAGCACAAGGACCUGAGUUUGAUUCUCGGUACCAGAAAACAAACAAACAAACAACAAUAACAAAAUGUAAAAUCAGGAGAUUUGCUGUAGUUGUUAAAGGAAUAAAAGACACGUAGUGUUCUGACUUAUGUAGAAUGAGUGGGACACUCUCCCUCAGAUCCCUUAUUGUUCCUUAGGGGCUGCUCCUGGUGCACUGUCUCCCCUGCUUGGACCGAGCACCACUAGGAGGGUCAGAGGACUGUGGCUUCAUUGCCAGGCUUUGGUAUCUCCUCCUGUUUAACCGUGCAAGCGUUUCACUGGCAGUGCUCAAAACAGGCGAAAAGAAAUCGGUACUUACACAGAGUAGAAAUGGUAACUUCUGCCAGUGACAGAAGACAGAGAAUAGAGAAAACUAGCUAGAAUUUUCAAAUUAAACCACCAACAAAGGAAAUAAAACUACUUCAACAGAUGAAUAUACA